rnacentral:rRNA from 1 species
ACGAACGCUGGCGGCGUGCCUAAUACAUGCAAGUUGAGCGCUGAAGGUUGGUACUUGUACCAACUGGAUGAGCAGCGAACGGGUGAGUAACGCGUGGGGAAUCUGCCUUUGAGCAGGGGACAACAUUUGGAAACGAAUGCUAAUACCGCAUAAAAACUUUAAACACAAGUUUUAAGUUUGAAAGAUGCAAUUGCAUCACUCAAAGAUGAUCCCGCGUUGUAUUAGCUAGUUGGUGAGGUAAAGGCUCACCAAGGCGAUGAUACAUAGCCGACCUGAGAGGGUGAUCGGCCACAUUGGGACUGAGACACGGCCCAAACUCCUACGGGAGGCAGCAGUAGGGAAUCUUCGGCAAUGGACGAAAGUCUGACCGAGCAACGCCGCGUGAGUGAAGAAGGUUGUCGGAUCGUAAAACUCUGUUGGUAGAGAAGAACGUUGGUGAGAGUGGAAAGCUCACCAAGUGACGGUAACUACCCAGAAAGGGACGGCUAACUACGUG